rnacentral:misc_RNA from 1 species
UUUUGUGAAGCCUCUUGUUCCAGAUCUGGUAUUCCUCCAUCAUCGUUUUGGUUACCUUGCACGCUUUUCUCUCGCUCCUCCUCCAAUCUCUUGACCUUUAGCUGCAGAGAAAGGAUGGAGACAUCGUAUCGCUGAACCUCUUGUUUGAGCUCAGCUACACGAAGCUUUCUCAGCUCUUCAAGCCAAGGAAUGUUAGCGACCUUAUCACCACUGUUAUUAUCAUUAUUAUUAUUAUUGUUAUUAUUUUCUUGUAUAUCAUGUUCGUU